rnacentral:lncRNA from 13 species
AGUAUACUCUGUUAAUAGUGAAUACUGUAUACACCACUCGGUUAGUGAAUACUGUUUACACCACUCUGUUAGUGAAUACUGUAUACACCACUCUGUUAGUGAAUACUGUAUACACCACUCUGUUAGUGAAUACUGUAUACACCACUCUGUUAGUGAAUACUGUAUACACCACUCUGUUAGUGAAUACUGUAUACACCACUCUGUUAGUGAAUACUGUUUACACCACUCUGCUGAUAGUGAAUACUGUAUACACCACUCUGUUAGUGAAUACUGUAUACAGUAUACUCUGCUAAUAGUGAAUACUGUAUACACCACUCUGCUAAUAGUGAAUACUGUUUACACCACUCUGUUAAUAGUGAAUACUGUAUACACCACUCUGUUAAUAGUGAAUACUGUAUACAGUACACUCUGCUGAUAGUGAAAACUGUAUAGUGAUCAAUCGCUGACAGUCCUGCACAGAUUAUCACUAUAUGCGAAGUGCUCUGUAUUUCAGUUUAUGAAAAAGCACCUAAGUAUCCAUAUAUAACGACUAUAUGAAUUUGAAAUGAAAUAUACUAUACUCUAUUUUUGUGUGUAAAUCGUCACAGUUGUUUGUGGUGGACUACAGUGCUAUAUGAGGUAUUUAUGGAUUCAUAUACUGUAUUUUUAUGUUCUGUGAACGCUCUAAAAGACUCUGGGUUGAGGUCAGUGAUAAAGAUAAAAUAUUGGAUGGAGUUUGAAACAAACACAAGCAUGGAACCAAACAAUUCAACUAACUGUAACAUGGAGUUCAGUUACAUUUGUUAAAUGUUGAAUAAAGUAUAAAUAAAACUAUUAAGAAUAUGUAUUUAUCAGUUUGCCCUAUUUCAUCUAUUCACAACAACUGUGUGUUUGCCUGUUUGCCAUAGAAGGUUUAUAGAACCUCUCCCUAUGGCUGUGACUGGUGAACUAAAGGGUACACUCAAUAUGGCUGACCUGGUAGAGGAUUUCCAUUCUAGAGAUUAUAUUUCUAUGGCUAGCCUGCUUUCUCACAGUACAAGAUUAGUAUGUGACAGGCGAGCCGACUGAGAGAUGACGAGCAGCAGACGAUCGNNNNNNNNNNAACCCUGUUCCUGGAGAGUUACUGUACCAUCCUGUAGGUUCUCUCUCCAACCCUGUUCCUGGAGAGUUACUGUACCGUCUUGUAGGUUCUCUCUCCAACCCUGUUCCUGGACAGUUAUCGUACCAUCCUGUAGGUUCUCUCUCCAACCCUAACCUAGCGCACCUGACUCUUGUAAUUAGCUGGUUAAUAAGUUGAAUCAGGUUAGUUACAACUGGAAUUGGAUUGAAAACCUACAGGAGGGUAUCUCUCCGGGAACAGGGUUGGAGUUAAAACCUACAUGACGGUAGCUCUUCAGGAACAGGGUUGGAAAGAGAACCUACAGGA